GUGCAGUGGAUGUGACAGUGGACAAGUUUCGCCUGAAAUAUACGACUCUAACAUUUCUAACAAGACCAGGAUCAUUUAUGUCCCGGAUCGUUAAUGCACGGAUUACGACGUAAUUCGCACAUGGUGGAUUUUUCUACUCCCGUUACUCGCUGCCCUCACUGGUUCGCAGUACAUUAUACAUCCUCGUAAAAGUAUAUCGCGCAGCAAUAAUAUAAUAAAAUUACUAAAGUAUCGACGGAGCGACGAUAAAAACGUUGUAAACGUUCCGGUGCUAACGUCGAUCGGAAAAUCGAUCUUCCAGAAAAAUAAUUAUGGCGGUGGACCUGCAGACCGAAGUAUUUAAAUACGACUUCCUCUUUUUGCUUCCUCUCUAAUUUACAAUGUGAUAAACAAUUACAGAUAAGUGUCGCUGCGAGCGUGAAACGUUAUGUUCCCUUCAUGGAGAAUCAGAGUACCAAGCAAUCGGACUUGUUCCUGGCGCCAGUGAUGUGCUUCAUUUGCUACCAGCAUACAUCAAGAGAGGUCAUAUAUGAAUUAGAGUUCGUAUCUGGAGACUUAUUUUGGCUCGUUAUUGUUCUGAUGGCGAUAGACUGCCGACGAAUAAAUUUUCCGACGAAUCGGUGGAAGCGCCGAGGGGGAGAAAACACACACAGUCUGCGAGGACCGCCGACAUAUCGCGCCGUACUUUCUCGCAAAAUUUACGGGAGCUAUUUUAAAUUCAUAAAGAUAUUUGUAUUCUCGGUCGUCGCAUAAUCGUGCAUUUGGCCAUUCCGCGCGAGAAUUCCUCGACGUCGCGACGCUGAACGCAUCUACGCGAAACGGCCGCGGGAACGGUAGCGGCAGAUUCACGUGGGAAUCAAGUCACGGAUGAGAACAUAGUCAUGUUUGGAAACAUAUCGAACAAGCUCUCAGCAUGAGUGAGCGCACUACGUAAUUCUAUGCGUAAAAUAACAGAGUGGUAUAAUGCUGAAUGCAAGCCCGAGAAAUUCUCAGAUUAAUGAUAACCGCGCGAUAUUUUAUAGCGAAAAGGAUAACGUGAAAUGUAUUUUACACAUCGUAUUUAUAGAAAUGUUAUUAAUUUGUCACAUAUCGUGGAUAAUCGAUGAUUCGAUUUAAUAAAAUGUCCACGUUAAUCUCGAUUCUCGCAGUCUUCUCACUCGUACUUUUCAUCUAAUGAAUAUUUUUUAAGGCUCCAAAUAUGUACAUUCUUGAAGAACUCAUAGACAACGUUAGACAUUGUACCUAAUGGAUGAAACGUCAAACUGCACUUCGGUGGCACUUAACAUUAUCCUGCCGGAGGGCACAGAAUUGUCUCUGUCGUGCUUUACUUGGAACACGCUGCGAAGGUAACUUCUAAGUCGCUCCAAAGUUCGCCAGCGCGUAAGAGAAUUUUCGCCCGUCGCUCCGGAAAGUUAAUAAACAUUAACAAAUCCGUCCUCUCUCUCCCUCUCUCUCUCUCUCUCUUUGUCGCGGCGCAAUAGAGUGUCGUAAAAUUUCCUGACACGGAUAUUUUCCGCGGACGAGCAAUUGCGCGAGGCGCGGCGCACGACGGUAAACAUAAAUCUCGUAAAUGGAAAUAGUUGCCGGUAUCCCGAAAUUAAAUCGAGCGGCGACAUUUCGGACUGUUUAAGUACAAUGGGACACGAAUCGCAAUUCCAGGCGACAGACACGGCUCAGUUAGCUAGAUAAAUGCCGCGCCGCAGUUUCGUGCGCGGCGGUUUCUCUCACUGUCGGCCGCUCGACUAGCAGUGAUGGCGUUCAAACCGAUAUCUAUCCGUAACUUCGGUGAGCGAGCUGACAAAAGGGCGAGCACGGGUGGGAAUAAAUUGCAAGGCAAGUUUGAGAUAUUUCCAUUAAAAAGCAAUUAUACUAUUUCAAGUAUUGUCUCGCUUGUGGUUACGCGCAAUGUUAAUGAUUCUGAGUGCGCUAAAUGGAAAGUUAAAGCGAAACUUAAAAACGAAAUAAGCUCGCAUUUCGCGGCAGCUGACAAGCGUAAUUAUAACAGAAUGUUCUGCAUUUUUCUUCUGCUCUCAUCUGAAAUUGAUUGUUCGAUGACUUGAAUCUACAUUAUUCUUCACAUUCUCAUUAUUUGCUAUAAAUUCCUCUUGCAAUAUUAGACCGCCGUCACGCGUGACGCGCGCCGCCUUAAAAUUCGGCGCCGCCAGCCGCGCGCGUUAAUCGAUUUUUCCUUCCAGACUUUCCGCUCGCGUGCGGAAAUUACGCGCGGUACAAGAACAAACGUAUAAAUAAUGACGCGAAGUAAGCACGACAAAAACGUCGCAAUCCCUCAUCGAUUUAAUGCGUUGCCAUGGAAGCGACGGAAGGAAAAAACCGUACUGCGGAAGCUGAGCGUAAAAGCCCAUCGCAUACAAAUUUACAUAAGAGCAUAAGUAUGGCGUAUGGGCGCGUCGACCAAUGAAACCCCAAGAAUGAGCCGCCGUAUUGUUUUAUAGAACAUGAGCGUACAUAAGAUAAUGGUUGCGACGAAAGUAAAAACAAAACCCGACUUUUUUUUAUGUGCGGAUUAUACGUGUAAUAAAUUACAUAGCGUAAAAUAUGGU